rnacentral:rRNA from 1 species
UAAAAAUGUGUUUUUAUAUAGUUUGAUAUUGCAUAUCAUUUAAAGAAAAUUUUAUAAUUUAUAAAAAAUAAAAUUAAAAGGUAGAAAAAUUUAUUAUUUUUAUUGUUUCAAAAUAAAAAUUAUAAUUUUUAGGGUUGAAAAGUCGACUUUUAGGAUAUUUGUGUGGUUAGUGUAAUUAGAAAUUUAUUAUUUUAUAAGUUAAGUUUUAUAAAUAUAAGAGUUGAAGUAUCUAUUUUGUUAGUUUUAUAACAGUUUAUAAAUUAAUGAAAAAAUUGAGAUGUGUUAAAAUUUAAUAAUUCGUUAUUAUAUUUAUUAUUUUAAAAUUAGUAAUUGUUAAAAAUAUAAUAUUUUUUGUUAAUAUAAUUAAAAAACUCAAAAAUUAAUCAAAUGUUUUUUAAAGACUUAGACUUUUUAAUAAAGUUUGCUUCUGCCCAGUGAUAUAUUUUAAAUGGCAGUCUUAGCGUGAGGACAUUAAGGUAGCAAAAUAAUUUGUGCUUUUAUUGAGUUCCAGUAUGAAUGAAGUUAUUGGUUAAUUUAUUUUUUAAUUUUAUAGUGAAGUUUUAUUUAGUAUAAAAAAGUAUUAAUAUAAUAAUACAAAGAUAAGUCUUCGGAAAUUCUUUUUUAAUAAUAAUGUUUAAAUUAUUAUUAAAAAUUUUCUAGGGCAGAAUUUUAUAUAAAUUAUUAAAUCUAUUGAUAAUUUAAAGAAUUACUCCGGAGUUAACAGAAAAUCAUACCUAAUCUAGUUCUUAUAGUAAGGUAAGUUUUACAUCGAUGUUGUAUUUAAAUUUAUUAAAAAAGGAGAAGAUUUAAAAAUUAAGACUGUUCUUCUUUUAAUUAAUUUAACGUGAUAUUAGUUUAAUUCAUUGUGAGAUAGAAUUGUUUAUCUUGUUUAUUAUUGAGGUGGAAUUUUAGUAGUACGAAAGGAAAAUUAAAAAAAGUUUUAAACUUUAUAAGAGAUAAAUCUUG